GAUGACGUGUUAAUUGCUUAAGUUUGAGUAAUUAGGGUUUAGAUCCCUUGUUUGAUUUACUUUGUAAAGAGAUGAAGAGUUAUAUGAAGUUUUGUUGUUAUAUUUUAAAGAUGUUGAGAUGUUCUUUUGAUGAUGUGAGGAUGAUGUGGGAUUUUAUAUCCGUAUUUGAGUUUGAGUAUUUGAAUAAUUCUAGAUAACUAUUUGAAUGAGAACGGUGAACUCGGAAGUGAAAUCUGAGUCCGUUAAGACGUUUUUGAAAUUUUUGACUUUUUGACGAUGAAUAGUAAAGUACGGCUAUUUCGUCUUUUUGUCGACUUUCAAAAUCUUACGUGCACGUCGUCGAGAAAUAUUCUUAGUUUUUCGAUACGAGUCCAAUAAUGAAAGUUUUUAUUUUUGGACGACGAGUGAAUAGUAAAUCGGGAUUUCUCGAUAAACGUGUAAAUCUCGUUUAUCAGAAUUUCGAGAACGAGCUUGUAUUUUCUAUAUUUAUAUAGAAUUACGAGUGUAAUAAAAGUGAGUAGGAGUUGAGAGGGCGAGUAACGAAGAGUAUGGGUAGUUAGUCGUUAAAACGAGACGAGACGAAACGAGAUAUUUAACGACUAACGGGUUAAUAUCCUAAAUAUCUAACCUACCCUACCCCUAACCACCCCCCCAACCGCCCAAACUCACUCACUCACACAUAUUACACGUUUGUUUCAGCCAAACACUUUUAACUCACACACACAACACCUAAAACACACACUAAACUCACGCAUAACACCAUUGUUGAGGAGUUGGAGCUUUUGACCUCCGAUUUGAGCACCGAGACGAGCGCCGAUCAUCUUUUCGAUCACGUAUCUAAGUAGGUCCUUUUGGGAAGUAACGACUUGAGGGAGAGAGUGACGUUACUCAUUGAUACAGAGACACAACGAGGUCCUUUUGGGAAGUAACGACUUGAGGGAGAGAGUGACGUUACUCAUUGAUACAGAGACACAACGAGGUUGAGCUGAUGUGAUGAUGGUGCUGCAAUGAGCGGAGUCUCCAGGGUUGUUAAUAAAUAGUUAACCUGUCUAGAAUAUGUCUUCAUACAUAUGUCUAGCUACUUUCCGCUGCAAGAUGUUGUUGAUGUUAUAGUAUGUUAUGUCAUACUUUGAGUCUUAAGAGAAUGGUUUCAUACGAUGUAUAACUUGAUUAAUGAUAUUAAUUAAGUUUUAUGCUGUCUUUCAUAGACUGUUUUCAAUUGAGUAUUAAUGAAUAAAAAUGACGAGUUUUAUUAA